rnacentral:misc_RNA from 1 species
AUGUACAGGCCCUUGCUGCCAGUUGAGUUGUUUACUUGCAGUCGGAUCAUCCUGCAUUUGAACACAUAUUUGGAACGUUACCCUGCUAGAUUGAUGCACGUAUAUAAGCUGACUGGUCGGCAAGCAAACUGGAGGAUAGAGUUACACUCACUAACUGCUCAAACGACCAAUGGUCAUAAAAUUCACCGAGGUUGCAACUACAAAGGUUAGUGUCUUGGCUGUAUCAGCAUUGCUUUGAUUCUUGAGGUUUGCUUCAGAACUCAGAUGCCAUAUGAUAAAUUUAUAUUGUGUAUCUUUUUCUGGUAAUUUGAUAUCGAUGUCUGAAUGUAAUUGGAAAUUGUUUUAGGAAAUGAAGG